rnacentral:tRNA from 1 species
AUUUAGGUAGUUUAGUAUAAAAUGGUGCUUUGUGGUGGCAUGGAUGCUUGUGUUUGCCCUGAAUA